CUGUGUGCGACUGAUGACAAUGCUGUGCUCCUGAGACCUUGUGAUAGCUUAGUCUCAAAGUAAACGCCCUGACGCACCCAAG